rnacentral:rRNA from 1 species
GAGUCGAGUUGUUUGGGAAUGCAGCUCUAAAUGGGAGGUAAAUUUCUUCUAAAGCUAAAUACUGGCCAGAGACCGAUAGCGCACAAGUAGAGUGAUCGAAAGAUGAAAAGCACUUUGGAAAGAGAGUCANNNAGCACGUGAAAUUGUUGAAAGGGAAGCGCUUGCAGCCAGACUUGCCUGUAGNUGNUUAUCCGGACUUUUGUCCGGUGCACUCUUNUGCGGGCAGGCCAGCAUCAGUUUGGGCGGUUGGAUAAAGG